UACGGGGGGGGGCAAGCGUUGUUCGGAAUUACUGGGCGUAAAGGGCGCGUAGGCGGCCACCGCAAGUCGACUGUGAAAUCUCCGGGCUUAACCCGGAAAGGUCAGCCGAUACUGCGGGGCUAGAGUGCAGAAGGGGCAACUGGAAUUCUCGGUGUAGCGGUGAAAUGCGUAGAUAUCGAGAGGAACACCUGCGGCGAAGGCGGGUUGCUGGGCUGACACUGACGCUGAGGCGCGAAAGCUAGGGGAGCGAACGGG
rnacentral:rRNA from 1 species